GUAGACAUAGUUUAACAAAAACAUCAGAUUGUGAUUCCGAAAACAGAGGUUAAAACCCCCUUGUCCACC
rnacentral:tRNA from 1 species